rnacentral:rRNA from 1 species
AUUGAACGCUGGCGGCAGGCCUAACACAUGCAAGUCGAGCGAGAGGCGGACGGGUGAGCAAUGUAUGGGGACUGCCCGAUAGAGGGGGAUAACUACUGGAAAAGGUGGCUAAUACCGCAUACUAACGGAUAACCCAUAUGGGAUUAGCUAGUAGGUGGGGUAAAGGCACACCUAGGCGCGUAUCUCUAGCUGGUCGGAGAGGAUGAUAAGCCACAAUGGGACUGAGACACGGCCCAGAUUCCUACGGAGGCAGCAGUGGGGAAUAUUGCGCAAUGGGCGCAAGCCUGAUGCAGCCAUGCCGCGUGUAUGAAGAAGGCCUUAGGGUUGUAAAGUACUUUCAGCGGGGAGGCGUUACCCGCAGAAGAAGCACCGGCUAACUCCGUGCCAGCAGCCGCGGUAAUUC